rnacentral:rRNA from 1 species
GUCUAUGGAGCCGAAGCCGUCAUCCCGACCGACAUCGAGUUCGACUCGCCGUGCGUCAUGAUGUACACCGAAGCCGAAGCCAGAGAAGCCCGCGAAGAUGGCGUCGACCUGCUCGAAGAAGCACGCCUCCUGGCGCUCAAUCGCUCGGCCAUCUACCAGCAAGGCCUGAGGCACUACCACAGCAGGAAGAUCAAGCCCCUUGCGUUCCGCGAGGGCGACCUCGUCCUCCGACUCGUCCAAGAGCAGGCAGGCCAGCACAAGCUGUCCCCUCCAUGGGAGGGCCCAUUCAUCAUGAGCAAGGCCUUGCACGACCGCAACGCCUACUACCUCAUCGACGCACGCAAGUCAAGGAAGCGCAAGAAGGACACCGCCGGUGAAGAAAUG